CCUACGGGGGGCAGCAGUAGGGAAUCUUCCACAAUGGACGAAAGUCUGAUGGAGCAACGCCGCGUGAGUGAAGAAGGGUUUCGGCUCGUAAAGCUCUGUUGGUAGUGAAGAAAGAUAGAGGUAGUAACUGGCCUUUAUUUGACGGUAAUUACUUAGAAAGUCACGGCUAAAUACGUGCCAGCAGCCGCGUUAAUACGUAGGUGGCAAGCGUUGUCCGGAUUUAUUGGGUGUAAAGCGAGUGCAGGCGGUUCAAUAAGUCUGAUGUGAAAGCCUUCGGCUCAACCGGAGAAUUGCAUCAGAAACUGUUGGACUUGAGUGCAGAAGAGGAGAGUGGAACUCCAUGUGUAGCGGUGGAAUGCGUAGAUAUAUGGAAGAACACCAGUGGCGAAGGCGGCUUUCUGGUCUGCAACUGACGCUGAGGCUCGAAAGCAUGGGUAGCGAACAGGAUUAGAUACCCUGGUAGUC
rnacentral:rRNA from 1 species